UACGUAGGGCGCAAGCGUUGUCCGGAAUUAUUGGGCGUAAAGAGCUCGUAGGCGGCUUGUCACGUCGGGUGUGAAAGCCCGGGGCUUAACCCCGGGUCUGCAUUCGAUACGGGCUGGCUAGAGUGUGGUAGGGGAGAUCGGAAUUCCUGGUGUAGCGGUGAAAUGCGCAGAUAUCAGGAGGAACACCGGUGGCGAAGGCGGCUCUCUGGUACGUGACUGACGCUGAGACGCGAAAGCGUGGGGAGCGAACAGG
rnacentral:rRNA from 1 species